AAGGAGUUAAUUAUUUUUUUUAGUCUAUUUAAAUUUAAAUAAAUAAAUUUUAAUUUUUAGUAAUUUGUAAGAAAAAAUAAAUUUUAUUAUAGUUAAUUUGUAUUGUAUAAGAUUUUUAUUUUUAGUUUAAAGAAUAAUUAAGUUUUAGUACCUUGUGUAUCAGGGUUUAUUUAAAAAUCUUUUUCUAUAAAAAUUUCUCGAAUUUAAAAGAGUUAUAUUUAUAUUUCUAUUAUUGUUGAAUAAAUAUUGUACAUAUAAAUAUAGAUGUGAAACGCUAUUCGAUUUUAAAUAUAUCUAGUUUUUAGAGAAAAAAAUUUAAUUUUAUUUUUAUUUUAUUAUACAUUUAAAUUUUUAAAUUUAUAGUAGUAAAAUUUUAUAUUUUAGGGGAUGAGCUUUAAAAUAAAUUUAUAUAAAUAUUUAAAAAUUAGUUAAGAAAGUAGAAUUAUAAGUUUUUAGCUUUAAUAGUGUGUUAUAAUUAGCUUAAUUUUUUUAUUUGAUUUUUAUAUUUUUUAUAUUUUUUAUUUAAAUAUAAAUUUUAAUAAGACAAUGUUUAGAAAUUAUGAUAAAAUUAGUAUAAUUUUUUGUAAAAUUUUAUUAAAAAUAUAAGGUUUUAUAAAGGAAUUCGGCAAAUAUAUUUUUCACCUGUUUAUCAAAAACAUGGCUUUUUGAAUAUAAUUUAAAGUCUGGCCUGCCCUAUGAAUAUUUAAAUGGCCGCAGUAUUCUGACUGUGCGAAGGUAGCAAAAUCAUUAGUUUUUUAAUUGUAAGCUGGAAUGAAAGGUCUGAUGAGAAAAUAACUGUCUCUAUUAAAAUUAAUUAAAAUUUUAUUUUUAAGUAAAAAAGCUUAAAUAUAUAUAGAAGACGAGAAGACCCUGUAGAGUUUUAUAAUUGUAUAUAAUAGAUUUUUUAGUAUUAUAAACCUUUAUUAUAUAAUAUUAUUUAAUUGGGGAGAUUGAAAAAUUAAGUAAACUUUUUUUUUAUUGUUACAUUUAUUUAUGAUUAUUUGAUCCUUUAAUUAAGAUUAUAAGAAUAAAUUACCUAAGGGAUAACAGCGUAAUUUUUUUUGAGAGUUCUUAUCGAAAAAGAAGAUUGCGACCUCGAUGUUGGAUUAAAAUAAAUUUUUGGUGUAGGAGCUAAAAUAAUUAGGUCUGUUCGACCUUUAAAAUUUUACAUGAUCUGAGUUCAAACCGGUGUAAGCC
rnacentral:rRNA from 1 species